rnacentral:rRNA from 1 species
UACAGAGGGGGCAAGCGUUGUUCGGAAUUACUGGGCGUAAAGGGCGCGUAGGCGGCCUUCUAAGUCGAACGUGAAAUCCCCGGGCUCAACCCGGGAACUGCGUCCGAUACUGGAAGGCUUGAAUCCGGGAGAGGGAUGUGGAAUUCCAGGUGUAGCGGUGAAAUGCGUAGAUAUAGGAAGGAACACCAGUGGCGAAGGCGACCACCUGGACUGAUACUGACACUGAGGUGCGAAAGCGUGGGGAGCAAACAGGA